CCUACGGGAGUCAGCAGUGAGGAAUAUUGGUCAAUGGCCGGAAGGCUGAACCAGCCAUGCCGCGUGAAGGUCAGUGCCCUAUGGGCGUUAAACUUCUUUUGUGCGGGAGCAAUAAUGGUCACGUGUGGCCAGACGAGAGUACCGUACGAAUAAGCAUCGGCUAACUCCGUGCCAGCAGCCGCGGUAAUACGGGGGAUGCAAGCGUUAUCCGGAUUUAUUGGGUUUAAAGGGUGCGUAGGCUGUGAGGUAAGUCAGCGGUGAAAUGCCCCCGCUCAACGGGGUGAAGUGCCAUUGAUACUGCCUGGCUGGAAUGCGGAUGCCGUGGGAGGAAUGUGUGGUGUAGCGGUGAAAUGCAUAGAUAUCACACAGAACACCGAUUGCGAAGGCAUCUCACGAAUCCGCGAUUGACGCUGAUGCACGAAAGCGUGGGUAUCAAACAGGAUUAGAUACCCGAGUAGUC
rnacentral:rRNA from 1 species